GGCUGAAUCCACUGUUGCAGAAAUGCCGAGACUGUGGAGAGAGACCCCGCUGCACAGAGCCGGCUGUCUGAGUAGCGGCAGAAGGCAGUCAAGGCAGGGAUCCACAUCCAGGAAACAUGCCAUAACUCCAGCCGCGGCGCUGAAGCCAGAAAAGCCGCAGCCUUUUUCGUAACGUCGCAGUGAUUUGGG
ensembl:misc_RNA